CACCCAUGGUGGAGGAGUGUGACUGCUCUCCCAAAAAGAAAAGGCAGAGACUGAUGGAAAGCCUUAGGCCCAGCGCUUGACAUAGAUCGGAAGAGCCCA